GCUUCAAUUUUGAUCCCAUUCUUUGAAAAUUUCUGAUUGCGUCUACAAUGGACGAGUUUGGGGUAUUGACCGAAAGAUUUGGAUUGAAACCGCAAGGAAAAUCGGCUCCAAUGGCUGCAUCUAAGGCAUCUGCUUCUUCAAACACCUUCCAGUCUCGGAAUUCCGGGUUUAAUUCGGGUUUGAAUGGCAAAUCCUCGUUUGAUUCUGGUUUUGGUGACGUAUCUUUUCAGAAAAACACUAAAUCCGACUCU
rnacentral:misc_RNA from 1 species